CUGCCACAUUCUGUCUACCAUAGCCAGUCGCUCCAGGACCUCCUGCUUAAGAUCUCCUGUCUAAUAAACAUUGAUGUUUCUGUUGCUGUUUCCUGGCUCUUCUUUGGUCUUAAGGCUGGCUUCUUUCAGGUUUGAACGGGUACCAGGACUUUCCCGCAUGGCUCACUUCCUCCACCUCUGAAAUGAAACCAUCAGCAAAGCCAAGUGAUACGUCAUCUGCUGGCCGUGGAUCUAACUACGUUUUUAUACUCCGGAGACCAAGCAUGGCCCCUCAACCAGCAGCAUUAGCACCACCUGGGAGAGAACUUGUUGGAGAUGCAGACCCUAGGCUCCACGCUAGGCCCACCAAGUUAGAAACUGAGAAUGAGCCCAGGAAUCUGUUUUAACCACCCCUGCAGUUGAUUCUGAUGUAGGCCAAAGUCCAAGACCCAUAGCACUAGAUAACUUUCAAAUAACCUCCUAAUUUGGGGUUAUGAGUUGUAUAAGCCCCUUCUCUGACCACCUGGCUUUAAUUCAUAGCUCCAGGCACAAUGAGUGGUUACAUAGUCUUUUGUUUGGCUAGUUAGGUAUUAUCUAUCACUGUCCAUGCCCUCUAAGCU